AGAACGCAUGUCUAGUAUAAGCACUUUAUACUGUGAACUGCGAAUGGCUCAUUAAUUCAGUUAUCAUCUAUUUGAUAUCACCUCUACUACCUGGAUCCUGUGGUAAUUCUAUAGCUAAUACAUGCUAGAACCCCGGACUUCGGAAGGGGUGUAUUUAUUAGAUAAUAAACCACUGCCCUUCGGGGCUCCUUGGUGAUUCAAAAUAACUUAACGAAUCGCAUGGCCUUGCGCCGGCCAUGGUUGAUUUUCUUUCUGCCCUAUCUCUUUCGAUGGUAGGAUAGUGGCCUACCAUGGUGGGUCGGGUAAAGGGGAAUUAGGGUUCGAUUCCGGAGAGGGACCUGAGCUCGGCUACCACAUCCAAGGAAGGGCGCGGCGCGCAAAUUACCCAAUCCCGACGAGGGGAGGUAGUGACAAUAAAUGCGGGCCGGGCUCUCUUGGGUCUGGAAUUGGAAUGAUUACAAUCUUUAUCCCUUAACGAUUAACAAUUGGAGGGGGUGCCUGGUGCCCGCAGCCUUCCUAAUUCCAGCUCCAAUAUCGUAUAUGUUGUUGUUGCACGUCCAUAGCUCGUACUUGAACCUUGGGUCUGGCCUCUCAUCCUCCUCACCUGAGUACUGGUCCGGCUGGACCUUUCCUUCUGGUGAAUCGAUCUCUUCGCUGUCUGUCGGGGAACCAGCAUUUUACUGUGAAAAAUUAGAGUGUUCAAGCAGCCUUUGCUCUAUACGUAUAUGUGUAUAUGAAUGACGUGCGGUCUAUUUUGUUUGGUUCUAGGACCCCAUAAUGUUAAAAAGGAUAGGCCGGGGCGUCUUUAUUCUCUGUCUAGUGAAAUUUUGGGUUUGCCGAAACUAACUACCUCGAAACAUUCUGACCGAUGUUUCUUAUCAUGAAGGCUAGUUGAGGUCCAGACAGAUAUACCUCUAUACUUUACCUAAACAUAUCCACAAGAUCCGGCGUGUUCUUGAUGAUCGUCCGGACUUACGAAAAUCAAUUUUGUGUUCUGGGGGGACUGCGUCGCAAGCUGAACUUAGAUUGACGAGGCCCACAAGCUGGAGCUCGCCGCUUAUUUGACUACACGGAACUCCCCGCCGACUCUAGAUGGCCGAUGGAGCCUUCUACUUUGGAGGGGCGGCCUCUAUCUGGAGAGAUGUUUGUGUAUUGUAAAAAAACAUUCGCUUUAUAACAAACAUUAGGCUGGACUUUGUGUAUGUCUCCAUAGUCUGAAAAGAGUAGCCAUCAGCUCUUGUGC
rnacentral:rRNA from 1 species